UUGACCAACCAAUAGCAUGAUUCGUGCACAACGAUCUGACAACUUGUUCCCAAAACAAAGAACUGGAUUGUUAACCGCAAAUUCCAACACAGCCCACCUGAAGUAAAAUCAAAGGCCUUUGUGGUUUGGUUCUAAUGUCGGCAACUUUUGCUGCGCUUGUGUUUCAGAAGCUAUGUCAUUGCUACGAGCUUUACUUCAUGCAAAUCUGCAGCAGAGAAUGAGAAACUGACAACUUUAAAGGAGGAUUUGGUGCAAUUCCUGUCGUGUUCGUCUAAUAUCCAGAUUAACGCUUGCAGGCACUUAAGUCGCUGAUAUUUGGUCAUUAAUACACUUUAUAACUUCAAACAAUGGAUGAACACAGACUUAGCAACGGCGAUGCAAUUGACGCGUCCAAUGGUAAAGUUUCGUUCAAUUUCACACCUAUUAGAGCCCGUUCUGCACAGGAUUUGUCCCAAAAAUUAGCACCAGCAUUUGCGCCAGUCCCACAAAGUCCCACAACCCCAAUCAUGUUCCAAGAGCCACAAACUUCCAAGGCACCGAAAAAGGGCCCUGAAAACUAUGUCGGAUUUGCGAAUUUACCGAAUCAAGUGUUCAGAAAAAGUGUAAAGCGCGGGUUUCAAUUCACCCUUAUGAUUGUCGGUGAAAGUGGCCUUGGAAAAUCAACUCUUCUCAACUCAUUGUUUCUGAGUGAUUUGUAUGUCAACACACCCUACCAAGAUGCAUCAUUACGCCUGUCAAGAUCUAUGGAGGUACGGGAAUCAUCGUGUGAGUUAAAGGAAGGUGGUGUUAGACUACAACUGACAAUAGUAGAUACACCUGGAUUUGGAGACAACAUAGAUAAUACUGAUUGCUGGAAUGCAGUUAUAAAAUAUAUUGAUAACAAGUUUGAAGAUUACUUAAACGCAGAGUCAAGAGUCAAUAGAACAUCAUUUCAAGAUACACGAGUUCAUUGCUGUCUGUAUUUCAUAGCACCAACUGGCCAUGGAUUGAAGCCUCUCGAUAUCGAAUUUAUGAAAAAACUACACGGAAAGGUCAACAUCGUACCCGUUAUUGCAAAGGCAGACACGUUAACAGGAGAAGAAUGUCAAAAAUUUAAGCAAAGAAUAUUGAAGGAGAUCACGGACCAGAAUAUCAAUAUAUACAAAUUCCCACCACUAGGAGAUGACGAGUCGGAAAGUGAAUUAAUCGAACUCAGGGAACGAAUCCCAUUUGCUGUUGUCGGUAGCAACGCUGUCAUCGAAGUUGGCGGGAAGAAGAUCAGGGGGCGAAAAUACCCUUGGGGUAUCGUAGAGGUUGAGAAUAUCGAGCACUGUGACUUCAUUGCAUUACGAAAUCUUUUAAUAAGGACCCACAUGCAAGACCUUAUUGACGUGACUAACGAUGUCCAUUAUGAGAAUUACCGCAGCCAGCGACUGUCAGUACUCACGGGAGGAGGGACAACGAUCACCACGAGUGCUGCCUUGAAUAUCAACCCGGUUGAACAGCUAGAAAAGGACAAGGAAGAACAAGAAAGAAAACUGAAGAAAAUGGAGAAGGAAAUGGAACAAGUUUUCGAAAUGAAAGUGAAAGAAAAGAAAAAGAAACUGAAGGAUUCAGAGGGAGAGUUUAAUCGAAAGUACGAAAUCACAGCACGUGGUCUGGAACAACAGACAAAAGAGAUCGAGGAAAAGAAGAAGCUGCUUGAAAGAGAACGAGAGGAGUUCGAAAGCCAUUACAACCUGCAAGAUGGACUCAACAAUUCCAGGUCCUCCAGUAAAUCUUCUUUGAAUUCAUGUCCAAAGUUCGGCUCGUUGAGGCGCAAUAAAUCAGGCAGUGAUAAAAAUAGUAAUGGUGUGUCUCGUAGCUCCUCUUUGAAAUGGAGCUUUGGAAGAAGAAAUAAAAACAGUUAAAUUUAAAGAUUAUAAAAGGAAGUCAAGCCUACACAAAACUGCCAAAUAUUCCCCGGAGGACAUGAAAAAAGACAAAAAGAAAGGAAAGAAGUCGCAUUUGUUUUAAUGCUUGCAUGGAAAAUAAAGUCUUCAAUACGUUUAGUACCAGGAAACGAGGCUCGUCACAACAUACAUGAAGCAGUCUACAAUAAUACCCAAACGUAUCAUAUAAAGAUUGGUAAGACGAAGAUAUGGACGAAAUGAAAUGAAUUCUUCUGUUAAGAUUGUUGUAUCGUAGUACUAUGUUAAAAUGUGCCAUUUUUGUCCGUCGACAGUUUUCCAGAUCUCACCUUAUGCUCUAUGCUUAAACGUGACAGUCCUUUGAUAAACAUAGAUGUGAAUGCUGCCAUGUCAAUCUUAACUGUUGAGGUUAUUCUGUUAAUGUGACCCAGCUCCUAAAGAAAUUUCCCAUUCAAGGCCAUCUCUGCUCAAAGCUUUUUUCUAGAGGAUAGGUUGAAUUGAGAUUUGGGUAGCUGGAUCCAAGCAAGCUUAUAGAACGGCUUAAAAUAGCACGAAAUUAAAUUACCCUCUUCGUGGUAGCUAUCAAAGCGCAAAGUACUCACGUGACGUCAUAUGCAUUGUUUUGCUGAUGUAAGUUACACAGAAGGCAAUAGGCUGCAGCUGUCUGCAAACAGAUAGGGAUAUAACCAAUCCACACUAGUUUUAGUUUAAUAUCCAUUCAAGAAUAUUGUGAUAAGUGUCCUUCCAAUUGGGCGAUUGAAUUUUCUGGAGAGCAAUCAAUCUGUUCCGGGGAAGUAAAGCUUGUGGUAACUUUGUUGAAUGAUAUCAUGUUAGCCAUAACGUAAAUGAAAGUUAACCACAGUCAGCAUAAUUUACUGGGUAAAACGCUUCUCAAACUAUCACGAUAGACGAACAAGAGCCUUCGACACCAGAAUAGUGAGCAAAGAACCUUCAGAAACCAGCUUAGUCUUUAAGCUUCAAUUUUAAGUCUAGUCAUUCUCAUGGUGACUCAUGAAAGAGUGGAUUCCAGAUAUUGAAGUAAGUUGCCAGUCUUAGAAUGGAGUUGCUGUAUUUGAUGAUGUAAUGCAAGAGUAAUUUAAUCAUAGGUCUAUAACCUAUAGGUCUAUUUGUAUCAUCUAUUUGUAUAGCAUGAAGGCUUCUCUUUACUGCUUGCGCAAAAUGAUCAAAAGUGUCAUCUGUGUAAUCAUUAUUAUUAUUAUUAUUACCUAGAAUUCGUUUCAGUUGUUUUUGAUUUAAAUGAAUAUAUGAAUAAACUUGCAAAAGAGA